GGGCCGUUAGCUCAGUUGGUAGAGCGCACCCUUCGCAUGGGUGAGGUCAGGAGUUCGACUCUCCUACGGUCCA
rnacentral:tRNA from 1 species